rnacentral:rRNA from 1 species
UGGGGAAUAUUGCACAAUGGGCGAAAGCCUGAUGCAGCAACGCCGCGUGCGGGAUGACGGCCUUCGGGUUGUAAACCGCUUUCAGCAGGGACGAAGGUUUUCUGACGGUACCUGCAGAAGAAGCACCGGCUAACUACGUGCCAGCAGCCGCGGUGAUACGUAGGGUGCGAGCGUUGUCCGGAAUUAUUGGGCGUAAAGAGCUUGUAGGCGGUCCGUUGCGUCGGAAAGUGAAAACUCAGGGCUUAACCCUGAGCCUGCUUUCGAUACGGGCGGACUUGAGGGAUGUAGGGAGAACGGAAUUCCUGGUGGAGCGGUGGAAUGCGCAGAUAUCAGGAGGAACACCAAGUGGCGAAGGCGGUUCUCUGGACAUUUCCUGACGCUGAGAAGCGAAAGCGUGGGGAGCAAAACAGGCUUAGAUACCCUGGUAGUCCACGCCGUAAACGGUGGGCACUAGGUGUGGGACCCAUUCCAC